UCAAUGGGAGCAAAAAAAAAAAAAAAAAGAAAGAAAAGAAAGAAAAAAAAAGAAUUCAUUGAAUCAUAGUGCAAGUACUAGCUGUGAGUGUUAAAUCUCAAGAUCAGCUGUCUACUCAAAAACUAGAACCAAAAGGCUUUACAAGGGCUGAAUAUCCAUGCUAAUGCAUUUCAUCAACACAACCAGGAAUUAGUUAUAAAUAUUAAUGCCUUCAUUUAAGAAGGAAUAGGAAAACCCAUCGAGAAAAAGGAAAUCAGAGCGUUUUGUGAAGCUUUGCAAAAUAAAAAUAUAAAAAAUAAUCAUCAGGCCUGUGAACUCAGAAUAAAUGCUCAUCUUCUAGAUCCUUUUGUACUGCAUAGUACUUCUCACAGCAGUAAAUGUUGGCAGGAAGAACAUUUAUUCACAGUGAAUAUACUUAGAACUUUUUUGUAGAGCUCAGAUUUUUAGGACAAAUGAACAGAAACAAGAACAACAACCAAGGCCUAAAGAGGGAUUGAAAAAAAUGGAAGAAUUUUUGAGUUUCCUUAAUGCCUAUGUGCAGUGGACUGAAUGUUUGUGUCCUCCCCAAUUCUGUGUUGGAUUCCUAACUUCCAAGGUGAUAACAUGAGGAGGUGUGAUGUGGGUAAGUAAUGAGGUCAUGAGGCUGGCUGUUCACAAGAGGGAUUAGUGACUUUAUAAAAGAGACCCGAGAGAGCUCUCUUGCCCUUUUCUACUGUGUAAGGACAUAUGUGAAGUCAGCCAUCUGCCAGCUGGGAGAAGUCCUUUAUCAGAAUUGACCAUGCUGUCCCCCUGAUCUCAGACUUCCUGCCUCCAGAACUAUUAGACACAUUUUUGUUGUUUGUAAGUCACUGGGUCUAUGGUAUUUUGUAAUAACAGCCCAAACUGACUGAUAGUGUGGCUGAAAUUUAUGUGAUGUUUCAGUGAACAUCAGACACACUGAUAUUCUCUGAACUCUUGUGCUCAUGACCUGUUUGCUGGGGCCAGGGUUGGACAAACGACCAUCCUUCUUACCUCCCCAGAUGGACUGACUUCUCUCUUCUUUCUUGUGCCUUGGCACGUUGUACAUAGAGCUAAAGUUGUAUUUACACAUUCACCUCUCUCAGGGAGCAGGAAUAUAUGAUGUUAAACGGCUGAAUCUUGUAUCAAUUCCCACAAUGUCCCCCUUAUCCCUAGUUAUCUAACUCAUUACUGUUAAGGCACUUUUAAAUCUCUUGAUAUCUUUGGUCAUUUUUUGUUUUGUUUUGGGGUUGGGGAGGAAGAAAUGAGAAUGGUUAACUCACAUUUAGUUCAGGGGACUAUUUUCAAUUCAUAUGGUUAAAGAAGUGAGUUUCAAAAAACUGACUAUUCAUGAGUUUUAGAGAUGGUUAUGAUUUAUGUAUGAGGUGUCCCCCAAAAGCUCAUGUGUGAGACAAUGUAAGAAUGUUCUGAGGUGAAAUGAGUGGGCUAUAUAACUAGUGGAUUAAUCCAUCGAUGUGAAUUAACUGGGUGGUAACUGUAGGCAGCUAGGGUAUGGCUGGAGGAAGGAGGCCAUGGGAUAUGAUUAAUAUUUUGUCCUUGGUCAAUGGAACUCUCUUUCUCUCUGCUUCCUGGUUGCUGUGUCCUGAGCUGCUUUCCUCUGCUGUGCCCUCUGCCAUGAUGUUCUGCUUCACCUUGAGCUUGAAGAUAUGGAGUCAGCUGACUAUGGACUGAACCUAUUAAACUGUGAGCCAAAAUAAAUCUUUCCUCCUUUCAAAAGUUGUUCUUG
rnacentral:lncRNA from 1 species